rnacentral:rRNA from 1 species
GAUCAUGGCUCAGAUUGAACGCUGGCGGCAGGCCUAACACAUGCAAGUCGAGCGGAUGAAGAGAGCUUGCUCUCUGAUUCAGCGGCGGACGGGUGAGUAAUGCCUAGGAAUCUGCCUGAUAGUGGGGGACAACGUUUCGAAAGGAACGCUAAUACCGCAUACGUCCUACGGGAGAAAGCAGGGGACCUUCGGGCCUUGCGCUAUCAGAUGAGCCUAGGUCGGAUUAG